GUUGGGGGCGCUAACCGGCGGAAUAUUGCACUUCCUUAGCAACGUGUUGCCAGCUCGUGGCCGCAAGUGAGCAACGAGCUAAUCGAGUGGUUCGACCCAGUGUUGCAUUGUUACCAUUAAUGAGUACUCUUGGUGCUGGAUCCGGUAUACUCUCUCAAAGGUUGGCUUCAGAACAAAAACCUGACCUUGCACUUAAAAAUGGAAAACAAAACUGGUCGAAUCUUUACAACUACCAUGUAAACAGUUAAUUACAAACACGCAUUGGCAAAUUUGUUUUCUUCAGAAGUUCAGUACAUCUAUUAAAACCAAAUGAGAAGGAAAAGAUAGGAAGCCAUUCCACCCCUCCUUUCCUGGUCAUAACACCAAUAUGUUUAACAACAUGGAAAUAAAUGUGGGACUAGGUAGCACAAAUACUGUUGUCAAGCACUGAUGAAAAAUAAUUAGGUAUUGCAGUUAAAUAAGCAGAAAAUGCCUUUGCAACUUAAGCCCAUCAUCAGUAUUAGGUGUCUGUCUUGGCUUAAUGGCGUCUCCCUGAUCUCUAAGUUAGAAAUUUAAGUCGUUCUCCAGAUAGAUAAUACAUAAUCUAAAUUGAGUGUUCAGUACCAAGGGAGUCUGACCUUUGGAUGUUUGAUCUGUUGGAUGAGUUGUUAAACUCAUUUGCCCAUUCCUUUGGAUAUAAAAUAUCCCAUGUGCAGAAAAGAAAUGAGUCCUCACCAAUAUUCACCCCUAAAUGGAUACAGCAAAAAUCUAUGUAUUCUGCUAACAUAUCAGUUCUCCUACUGAAGACUUGACUUCUAGAAUUAACUGUGCCUGUUUUUAAGGUGUUCUAGCACAGCUACAACACAUGCAUUUACCCAACAUGGAAAAUUGUCAAGCUAUAUCAUGCCCACAAAAGACAAGACAAAUCCAGUGUGACCCAUUAGCACCUGAUCAAUUUACUGCACAAUAAAUAGUACUCAGCAACAACCUACACAUCAAUGCUCAGUUUGAGUUCUGCCUUGGCCAGCCAACCAGAUCUCAUUGUGAAAGUGGACCAUACAUGGAUAAAAAUGCAAAUUAUAAAGAUGAGGUGAGAGUAAUUAUUCUUAACACCAAGGCAUUUGAACAAUUAUGGAAUCAAAACCCCUAGAAAAAAUAGCCAAGACAAAUUGAGGAAAAUUCAAUACUGGUUGGAAUCGUGUCUUGCACAAAGAAAAUUGCUGUAAUUGUUGAGGUCAAUUAUCUUAAAUCUCAAGGUUUAACCUUUGGUCCACUCAUUUUUACAUUUUUCAGCUAUUUCAUUAAUAAUCUUUUCACAGUUAUAAUAUCAGAAGUGGGAUGUUUGUCAAUACUUUCACAGCAUUCCAUAUUUAGAUUUAGAUUAGAUUCCCUAUAUUAUUUGCAACUUUUAGAUGAUGAAGCAGCAAAGGCCCAAAUGAAGCUAGAACUGGACAACAUUCAGGCUUAGCCUGAUAUGUGACAAGUAUCAUGCAAUUGCCAGAAAAUGGUCAUCGCUAACAAGAGAAAAUCCCAUUUUCUCCCCUUGAUAUUCAAUACCAGCACCAUUGCUGAAUUCCCCACCAUCGAUAUUCUAGGCAUAAUCAUUGACCAUAAGCUUAACUUGGCCAACCAUUUAAUUGCUGUAACUGGAAGAGCAGGUCUAAGGCUGGGAUUUCUGCAGUAAUUAACUCAUUUCCUAACUCCCCAUAACAUGCCCUCUAUCCACAUAUCACAAAUCAGGAAUGUGAUAGAAUACUUUCUACUUAUCCGAAAGAGUGCAGCUCCUAUCACUACAUCAAAGCAGUUUUUAGCCACUAUCAUAAACAUUCACUUCCUCUAUCACCAGUGCACAUUAGCAGCGGUGUGUAUCAUCUACAAAUGAACUGCAGCAAGUGACCAAGUCUCUUUCGACCGCACCCUCCACACCUGUGACUUCUGCCAUUUAGAUGAACAAAGAGCAAACACAUGAGAACAUACCACCUACAAAUUUCCUACCAAAGAAAUAUGUGCAGAUGUAAAUUUUGAUGUGGUGGAUUUUGAGAAUGCUACUGAGGAUGUAGGAAAUGAUUUGUAUGAAUAAUUAAACUAGAUAGAAGCAAGUAAAAUAAAUAAAAUAUAUUUUUCUCAAAUGAUCUUUUUGUGGAUAAACUUUUGUGUGAAUUGAAGUAUUUGUGUUUCAUAUUUGUGGGAAGAUAAUUGUUAAUUAAUGUAAUUGUGUGAAAGAAAUUAAUCAAGUGAAUUAUUGAAUGAAAUCUAAUGGAAAUAAGAAACAUU